UUACGUCAUAUUAGUUGGAAUUGUUCAGAUCCAUUUUUUGAAGGAUUUGAGAGAGAGGAUGAAGAGAAAAUUGAGAUGGUGUGGGAGAGAUGAUGGAGAUAAUUGUGUGGGCAAAUAAAUGGUGGAGGAAGUACAUAUAUAUAAUAUAAAAAAAAAACAAAACAAAGCAAAAAUUGGCAACAGUCAAAUAGGAGAAUUAGGGGAAAAAAGAAAGAAAAUUGAAACGAUCAAAUAAGAAAAAAAGAAGGAAAAAAAAAUCGGCCAAACGGUCGAAUACAAAUUGAAAUUUUUAUUUUUUUUUAAUUGGCACGUGCAAU
rnacentral:lncRNA from 1 species